rnacentral:tRNA from 1 species
GGAGAGGUGCGAGAGCGGACGAUUCGGCACGCCUGGAACGCGUGUGUGGCGGCAACGUCACCGUGGGUUCGAAUCCCACCCUCUCCGCCA